AGCGCAGGCGGGAAGACAAGUUGGAAGUGAAAACCAUGGGCUCAACCCAUGAAUUGCUUUCAAAACUGUUUUUCUUGAGCAGUGCAGAGGUAGAUGGAAUUCCCGGUGUAGCGGUGGAAUGCGUAGAUAUCGGGAGGAACACCAGUGGCGAAGGCGGUCUACUGGGCACCAACUGACGCUGAGGCUCGAAAGCAUGGGUAGCAAACA
rnacentral:rRNA from 1 species